AUUGAACGCUAGCGGCAGGCCUAACACAUGCAAGUCGAGCGGAUGAAGGGAUCUUGCUCCUUGAUUCAGCGGCGCACGCGGGUGUAAUGCCUAUAUAUCUGCUUGCUGGUAGGGGAGAAUGUCCCGAAACCGGCGCUAAUACUGCAUACUCCCUGAGGGAUAAAGUGGGGGAACUUCGGAUCUCACGCUAUCAGAUGCGCCUAGGCCGGAUUAGCUAUUUGUUGUGGUAAAGGCAUACCAAGGCGACGAUCCGUAAGUGGUCUGAGUGGAUGAUCAGUCCCACUAGAACUGAGAUACGGUACAGACCACUAUGGGAGGCAGCGGUGGGGAAAAUUAGACAAUGGAAGGAAGGCUGAUCCAGACCUGCCGCGUGUGUGAAGAAGGUCUUCGGCUUGUGAAGGUCUUCAAGUUGGGAGGAAGGGCAGUAAGUUAAUACCUUGCUGUUUUGACGUUACCAUCAGAAUAAGCACCGGCUAACUUCGUG
rnacentral:rRNA from 1 species